AGGUAUCGAACCAAAUCAUAUCCUGGGGAAGAUGAAGUAUUGGAAACGGGAUUUUUUCUACGUAACCGAAAUACUUCACCGUCCUGGAUUUGGGUGGGAUUCAAAUGAAAACAAAGUUGUGGCAGAAUAUGAAGUUUGGGAGGAAUUAAUCCGAGAUCGGCCACAAGUGAGACUUUAUCGGGACAGGCAAAUUCCCAAAUUCAAUCAAUUGGGCCUUAUUUUCGGUCGUCGGGAAAACUAGAUGGUCGAAGUUGAAGACAUGUGUUUGAAGAAUAAAUUUGUAGUUGUCAAAUAAAUGGAUUUGCCUUUUCAUGGCUUCCUAAUUUGUUUGAUGUAUGUGUGUGAGAGUGUAUUUCUAUUGUUCAUCUGUAUUGUAUCAUGUUUUGAAGUGAGGUGAAUUUUCGAACCAGCGAAUAUUUCAUCAUAGCCAUGCGUUACUUUUGAACCGAAUAAUCGAACCAAUA